rnacentral:rRNA from 1 species
CCUACGGGUGGCAGUAGUGAGGAAUAUUGGUCAAUGGCCGAGAGGCUGAACCAGCCAAGUCGCGUGAGGGAAGACGGCCCUACGGGUUGUAAACCUCUUUUGUCAGGGAGCAAAGAGAGUCACGUGUGCCCGAUUGAGAGUACCCGAAGAAAAAGCAUCGGCUAACUCCGUGCCAGCAGCCGCGGUCAUACGUAGGAUCCGAGCAUUAUCCGGAGUGACUGGGUGUAAAGGGUUGCGUAGGUGGCAUAAUAAGUAGCUAGUGAAAUCGGGUGGCGCAACCAUUCAGACUAUUAGCUAAACUGGUAAGCUCGAGACCGUUAGCGGCAUCUGGAAUGUCUGGUGUAGGAGUGAAAUCCGUAGAUAUUAGAAGGAACACCAAUAGCGUAGGCAGGAUGCUGGCACGGUUCUGACACUAAGGCACGAAAGCGUAGGGAGCAAACGGGAUUAGAUACCCCAGUAGUC